rnacentral:rRNA from 1 species
CUCCAUGUGUAGCGGUGAAAUGCGUAGAUAUGUGGAAGAACACCAGUGGCGAAAGCGGCUUGCUAGAUCGUAACUGACGUUGAGGCUCGAAAGUAUGGGUAGCAAACGGGAUUAGAUACCCCGGUAGUCCAUACCGUAAACGAUGGGUGCUAGUUGUUAAGAGGUUUCCGCCUCCUAGUGACGUAGCAAACGCAUUAAGCACCCCGCCUGAGGAGUACGGCCGCAAGGCUAAAACUUAAAGGAAUUGACGGGGACCUGCACAAGCGGUGGAGCAUGUGGUUUAAUUCGAAGAUACGCGAAAAACCUUACCAGGUCUUGACAUACCAAUGAUCGCUUUUGUAAUGAAAGCUUUUCUUCGGAACAUUGGAUACAGGUGGUGCAUGGUCGUCGUCAGCUCGUGUCGUGAGAUGUUGGGUUAAGUCCCGCAACGAGCGCAACCCUUGUUAUUAGUUGCCAGCAUUUAGUUGGGCACUCUAAUGAGACUGCCGGUGAUAAACCGGAGGAAGGUGGGGACGACGUCAGAUCAUCAUGCCCCUUAUGACCUGGGCAACACACG